AGUAUUAUAUUUUUUGUCAAGUGUUUUGAUUUAUUGUUCCAGGUUUAAUAAUUAUCGGUUUGGCAGCAGAAGUUUGGUCGCACGUAGAAAUAGAAGCUGAAGAUUAUUUCUUUCCUCUAGAACCGGUAAUAAAUUUUUGCAAGAUGUCUGAAACGUGCACACAUGAUUUUGUGCCGAUCUGCGGGCAGGAUUCCUUGGGUAUAACCCGAAUGUUUAGCGAUAAUUGCGACUUAUUCGAAUACAACUGUGAUGAAAAGAAACAAUAUCGGCACGUGAAGAUGGAGGUGUGUAAAUACGAAUUACAAGCUGCUGCCGAACUUGGCUCAUAAUUUGGAUGUUGCUACGUGUAAAUAAAUUAUUUAUACAAAUAAAUAAUUGAUUAGCUAAUAGGUGACAGGUUACGUUGAAAUUAUUUACUCUACUUGUUCGAGAAUUACGCAUCGCUUUUUGACUAUGGAAGAUUUUGGCUACGUUUUUACCUGACGUUUUUACAAUAUUUUUGAAUAAAAAUAAUUUGGGUAGUUAAAUAUGAAACGGUUUGGUUGUUUUAUAAUAUUUUAAUAAAGUUUGUAUGGAUUGUUUUAAUUUAUUAAUUAAAAUGUAAUCAUAUGACUGUUAAAAUUAAAAG